rnacentral:misc_RNA from 1 species
GAUGAAGAACGCAGCGAAAUGCGAUACGUAAUGUGAAUUGCAGAAUUCAGUGAAUCAUCGAGUCUUUGAACGCACAUUGCGCCCCCUGGUAUUCCGGGGGGCAUGCCUGUCCGAGCGUCAUUGCUGCCCUCAAGCACGGCUUGUGUGUUGGGCCUCCGUCCUCCUCCCGGGGGACGGGCCCGAAAGGUAGCGGCGGCACCGCGUCCGGUCCUCGAGCGUAUGGGGCUUCGUCACCCGCUCUUGUAGGCCCGGCCGGCGCUUGCCGACACAUCAAUCUUUUUUCCAGGUUGACCUCGGAUCAGGUAGGGAUACCCGCUGAACUUAAGCAUAUCAAUAAGCGGAGGA